rnacentral:rRNA from 1 species
GAUCCGACGGCUCGGUGCUUGACGACGGAAAGGACAUUGUAAGCGAAACCGAGUAAGGUUGAGCG